UGGAGCAUGUGGUUUAAUUCGACGCAACGCGAAGAACCUUACCAGGGCUUGACAUCCCCUGACCGCGUAUGAAAGUACGUUUUCACCUCGGGUGACAGGGAGACAGGUGGUGCAUGGUUGUCGUCAGCUCGUGUCGUGAGAUGUUGGGUUAAGUCCCGCAACGAGCGCAACCCCUACGUUUAGUUGCUAACGCGUGAAGGCGAGCACUCUAGACGAACUGCCGUUGACAAAACGGAGGAAGGUGGGGACGACGUCAAAUCAUCAUGCCCCUUAUGUUCUGGGCUACACACGUGCUACAAUGGCCGGUACAGACGGACGCAAAGCCGCGAGGUGGAGCAAAUCCUAAAAAGCCGGUCUCAGUUCGGAUUGCAGGCUGCAAUUCGCCUGCAUGAAGUCGGAAUCGCUAGUAAUCGCAGGUCAGCAUACUGCGGUGAAUACGUUCCCGGGCCUU
rnacentral:rRNA from 1 species